rnacentral:rRNA from 1 species
UGCCAGCCGCCGCGGUAAUACGGGGGGUGCAAGCGUUAUUCGGAAUUACUGGGCGUAAAGAGCGCGUAGGCGGUCUCUUAAGUCGGGUGUGAAAGCCCGGGGCUCAACCCCGGGAGGCCGGUCGAAACUGUUGUGACUAGAGUUCGGUAGAGGUGAGUGGAAUUCCCGGUGUAGCGGUGGAAUGCGCAGAUAUCGGGAGGAACACCAUUAGCGAAGGCGGCUCACUGGGCCGAUACUGACGCUGAGGAGCGAAAGCGUGGGGAGCAAACAGGAUUAGAUA